AUGUCCCAACCCUAGAAUCGCUGUUUUUCCUCUCGCUCCUCCUGUGGGCGGCGCCGCCGCUGCGCACAAAACACAUCCUCGCCAGCGUAGCUUCUCCGGCGUCCGGCCAACGCGCUCACUAGCCUCCCGCCUUCCUCCACAUCUCCUCGCCUCCACCCCAUCCAGUUCGUGCCAUUCGCUGCUCCAAGACAAGGGCAUGGCGCUCGGCGGCUGCGGCAACGAAGCUGAUGGUGCACGAGCCAACCAUGAAGGCAGUAGCACGGGGCAGCGACAGCAGCAUGGAGGGCGUCCUCUUGUUUGGGAAGGUAAUGGAACUGCAAAUAGGAGUGGCAGCGGCGACCAGGAUGCAAAUGGAAGUGGUUCCCAAAGACCUUGGAAAGGACUUAAAGACAAUAACUUUGCAAUGCUAAAUGGCACGUGAGCAAAGGAUAUCAAGAAGCUUUUGGAUGUUGGGAAGCUUGGAGCUGAUGCUUCAAAUAAGCUGAUGGUUGUCUUUUGGAGAUGUUUCUAUGUUUAAUGCUUUAAAGUCUUUUGGCUGUACUGGACUAUUUAAACUUUGAACUAUGCUGUGAUGGUUGAACUGAUGCUGGACGGUUAAGGGUUUAUGUCAGAGGCAACUUUAUAACUAAUGUGUGUCUGUUAUGUUGGACUGUUAAGGGUUAUGUUGGAGGCAAUUUUAUAACUAAUGUGUGUCUGCUA